CAGCCGCCGCGGGAAUACGUAGGUGGCAAGCGUUGUCCGGAAUUAUUGGGCGUAAAGGGCUCGCAGGCGGUUUCUUAAGUCUGAUGUGAAAGCCCCCGGCUCAACCGGGGAGGGUCAUUGGAAACUGGGAGACUUGAGUGCAGAAGAGGAGAGUGGAAUUCCACGUGUAGCGGUGAAAUGCGUAGAGAUCGGACGGAACGCCCGUGGCGAAAGCGAGGCCCUGGACCUUUUCUGACGCUGAGACGCGAAAGCCAGGGGAGCGAACGGGAUUAGAUACCCCUGUAGUCCCUGUCUCUUAUAA
rnacentral:rRNA from 1 species